GGGCAGAGGUGGAAGUGCAGUAAUGCAUGGAGCUGACUGUUACUAAUCGGUCGAGGGCAUAACCAAG
rnacentral:rRNA from 1 species